rnacentral:rRNA from 1 species
AACGAACGCUGGCGGCAGGCUUAACACAUGCAAGUCGAGCGCCCCGCAAGGGGAGCGGCAGACGGGUGAGUAACGCGUGGGAACGUACCCUUUGCUACGGAAUAGCUCCGGGAAACUGGAAUUAAUACCGUAUGUGCCCUACGGGGGAAAGAUUUAUCGGCAAAGGAUCGGCCCGCGUUGGAUUAGCUAGUUGGUGGGGUAAUGGCCUACCAAGGCGACGAUCCAUAGCUGGUCUGAGAGGAUGAUCAGCCACAUUGGGACUGAGACACGGCCCAAACUCCUACGGGAGGCAGCAGUGGGGAAUAUGGGACAAUGGGCGCAAGCCUGAUCCAGCCAUGCCGCGUGAGUGAUGAAGGCCUUAGGGUUGUAAAGCUCUUUCACCGGAGAAGAUAAUGACGGUAUCCGGAGAAGAAGCCCCGGCUAACUUCGUGCCAGCAGCCGCCGUAAGAC